rnacentral:miRNA from 1 species
UGGACUGAAGGGGAGCUCCUUC